UACGGAAGGGGCAAGCGUUGUUCGGAUUUACUGGGCGUAAAGGGCGGGUAGGCGGCCAAGCCGCAAGUCAGUUGUGAAAUCUCUGGGCUUAACCCAGAAAGGUCAACUGACUACUGCGGGGCUAGAGUGCAGAAGGGCAACUGGAAUUCUCGGUGUAGCGGUGAAAUGCGUAGAUAUCGAGAGGAACACCUGUGGCGAAAGCGGCGCACUGGACGACAACAUGACGCUGAGGCGCGAAAGCGUGGGGAGCAAACAGG
rnacentral:rRNA from 1 species